CCUCUGCGGUUUCAAGGCCCAUAGUGAGAAAUAUAGACCUCUAAGGAGAUAAGUUUUCUCUCUGCUUCCCAAUCCAUCCCUCUUGUUUCUUGUAGUUCUAGACCUCCUCUAUCUGUCCAAUUCAUCCCUCUUGUUGCUUCUAUGCUAGACCUCUGUCUCAAAGUUGUGAUCCAUGUUUAGCAUCCAGUAUGGUUCUUGUCUCGCCGGUCAUGUGCUACAUCUAGAUUGAUUUUACAUAACACCGGCUCCAACAACCUCAGACUCAGUUUGCAGUGACUGAGUGAAGGGCUAGCUUGGUAAUCUUGCAAGAUUUUUCAAUCAUUCAGGUCUUAAAUAGAGAUGCCUCGCAGGGCAAGAGUGUACUAUGAGAAUUCAAGCAGCAGUUCGGAUGACGUCGAGCCACAGAUUUGCCUCUUCCACUAGUACUACUAACUUUCAUGGUGUGAGGAGAUCUUCUAGGAGGACGAGGUACGGGGUUAGACAAGCUCCCAUGAAUGCUGAGAUUGAAAAUGAGAUAAGACUUUCUGGAAGGGAGAGACAAAAUGUCAGCUAACCGAGAGAAGAUUCAACCAAGGUCAGGAAUGGCAAAUGUACCAUCCUGUCAUGGUUAAUUAAUUUUGGAACAAUCAAAGAAGGUACCAGAGAACAGUACAGGGAUGGAGGUGUUAGACUUGAAGGGAAGGUUUCUAGGGAGGGAAUUCUAUGCAGUUGUUGCAAUAGCACCAUUACGGUUAAGGAAUUCGAGUGCCAUGCAGGCAGUAGCAAGGACAAAGCUUACAUGAAUACAUACACUGGUGGGAGAGGGACUAGAAAAUCCCUGUUGCAGUGCCAGAUAGAAGCAUGGAACAAGCAAAAAACACCUGCAUGCAGUGGGUUCCAAACUGUAGAUGUCCAGAAAGACGAUGUUGAUAAGAACGAUGACAUUUGCAAUAUCUGUGGAGGUGAUGGGCAGCUAAUCUGCUGUGAUGUUUGUCCAUUGACAUAUCACGAGGAAUGUGUUGGAAUUAAGACACUUCCCCAAUCUCCUUUUCACUACCCAAUCUGUGUUUGCUUGAUUAGUGGGAUGUAUGGUGCUAAACCCUUUUCAUUCAGAUGUUUUCAGUGCGAAGAAUUAUAUCAUUGGAACUGUCUUGGAGGAGCAGCUAUACCUGCUGGCAAUGUCACCUUCUGUGGGAAAAAUUGAAGAGAGGUAUUG